UAAUACAUGCAAGUCGAACGCUUUUUCUUUCACCGGAGCUUGCUCCACCGAAAGAAAAAGAGUGGCGAACGGGUGAGUAACACGUGGGUAACCUGCCCAUCAGAAGGGGAUAACACUUGGAAACAGGUGCUAAUACCGUAUAACACUAUUUUCCGCAUGGAAGAAAGUUGAAAGGCGCUUUUGCGUCACUGAUGGAUGGACCCGCGGUGCAUUAGCUAGUUGGUGAGGUAACGGCUCACCAAGGCAACGAUGCAUAGCCGACCUGAGAGGGUGAUCGGCCACACUGGGACUGAGACACGGCCCAGACUCCUACGGGAGGCAGCAGUAGGGAAUCUUCGGCAAUGGACGAAAGUCUGACCGAGCAACGCCGCGUGAGUGAAGAAGGUUUUCGGAUCGUAAAACUCUGUUGUUAGAGAAGAACAAGGAUGAGAGUAAAAUGUUCAUCCCUUGACGGUAUCUAACCAGAAAGCCACGGCUAACUACGUGCCAGCAGCCGCGGUAAUACGUAGGUGGCAAGCGUUGUCCGGAUUUAUUGGGCGUAAAGCGAGCGCAGGCGGUUUCUUAAGUCUGAUGUGAAAGCCCCCGGCUCAACCGGGGAGGGUCAUUGGAAACUGGGAGACUUGAGUGCAGAAGAGGAGAGUGGAAUUCCAUGUGUAGCGGUGAAAUGCGUAGAUAUAUGGAGGAACACCAGUGGCGAAGGCGGCUCUCUGGUCUGUAACUGACGCUGAGGCUCGAAAG
rnacentral:rRNA from 1 species